AUCAUCACGGUCAACGACCGCGACGGCAGGUUGCUCAGGCGCAUCCGCCGCGACGAACGCGGCCGCGAGGUGAUCAUCAUCGACAACCGGCGCGGACCCGGCUUCGGCGCCGGCCUCGCCGCCGGUGUGGUUGCCGGCGCCAUCGGCGGCUACUUCGUCUCACUGCCGCCGCCGGUCCUUCGCAUUCCGGAGAACCGCUACAUCGUCGAGGCGGAAGAUGCGCCGCCCGAGCUGAUCUACGACACGCUGAUAGCGCCUCCCGUGGAGCGCAUCGAACGGCCGUACUCGCUCGA
rnacentral:misc_RNA from 1 species